GAGUGUCAAGUUCUUGGCUCGAGCUUUGUAAUGAGCUGAACAAUCUCACAUCUGGUCUCACCAUUGGCACUCAAUCCAUUAUUGGUCCCAUAAAAAGAAUUGACUAAACCCAACUUUCACGUUUUCAAUGGUGAAGGAGUAGAAGAAGAUUAAAAUGUGAAAGAAGUGAAAAUCGAUAUGGCUCUUCAUCUUUUUAGUAGCACAACUGAGGAUGAAGAUCCAAUCUCAGGAAACCCAGUUGCUCUAAAAACACAUAUAUCUUCUCU
rnacentral:misc_RNA from 1 species